GCCAGUCUCCCGGCUUACGUAAGGCGCGAGUCCCGCGCGCCCGGCCGGGGCUCCGAGUGGGGGCGGGCGGAGGCGGCGCCGCCCAGCGGGAUCCGGGCUGGAAGCCUAGCGGAGUGCCGCGUCCCGGCCGAGGUGUGUGUUUAUUUGGCCACUCGGGGUGGAGAGGCGCCGGUCUCCGGCUCCUCGCGGCGGGAAGCGCAUCCGUCUCCCCUCGGCGGAGGGGCGGCGGCGAGUCCCCGCGGGAGCCCAGGGUGUCAGAAGCAGGGGCAGAAGCAACAAAGUUCCCGGGUUGUGUCCGAGGCCGCGGUCUGGGUUGCUCGUUCGGCCUCCCCUUCCUCACCAAGGCAAUGGCUUCCAAACUCCUGCGCGCGGUCAUCCUUGGGCCGCCCGGCUCGGGCAAGGGCACCGUGUGCCAGAGGAUCGCCCAGAACUUUGGCCUCCAGCAUCUCUCCAGCGGCCACUUCCUGCGGGAGAACAUCAAGGCCAACACGGGUAAGGGGGUGCGGGGGUGAGGGGCGGGGUGAGCCGACGCGGGAUCGGGUGAGGCCGGGAGGCGAAGGGCUAGCGAGCGGCUGGGUCUCUUCGGUCCCCGGGCGCCCUUCCCCCGCCCGAGUGUGGUCGUGCAAGCUCCUACGUGCCGGGGCGCAUGCAGCCGGGUGCCCGCGGCUGUGCGGCUUAACCGCGCCCGGGGAGGAGGCCGAGGCUGGCUGGCAGAGGGUGGAAGUGCACGGGGCCACUCUCUCCGCCUGGGCUCCUCUUGCCGUGGGGAAAAGCCGGUGACUACCCUGCUAAGUGAGCGAGAUCCAGACAGCUGAAAACCCCGAGCUUCCUUCUCGCCCUGCUUCCUUAAGGCCAAGCCAUCCCCGCCCCUUGGCCGUCUCCCGCCCCCUCCUCCGCGUCUCUGGGGACCUGCAGCGCCCCCUUCUCUCGGCAAAGCCCCCAUGGGCCGAGCGCCGCCCACCUGUGGGAGUCGGGCACGGCCGCGCGCUGGGGAACCUGUGGCGCUGCGGGGCUCGCAGCCACGCGCCGCUUCGGGCCUCGGGGCAGAGCCCUAGGUGGCUUUGAAAGGCCUGUCUGUUCGCUGCAGCCUUCUAAGGUAAACUCUCACCACUAACUCCCCCUCCUCCCCAAGCCCGGGCUUGGCCCUUGGGAGACUGGAUCAUGUUAAAUCCAGCUUCCCUGGAUGUGUCUUGUUGAGAAUGACUCCCACGGCUUGCGUGGUGCACUUGGAGCUCCAAGACCGCCCGCUCUUAUCUUUCAGCGCGGCCCUUCUCACAUCUCUUCCCACCCCUCGCUCACACCAGUUCCUGAUGAAUUGGCAUUAAAAGGCGCGAGGUAGCUGU
rnacentral:lncRNA from 1 species